CUACUUUGCUAUGAUGACAAUGAGUGGACGUGGGAAAGGCGGAAAAGGACUCGGUAAAGGAGGUGCCAAGCAUCACCGUAAAGUUCUACGUGACAACAUCCAGGGCAUAACUAAGCCCGCCAUCCGUCGUCUGGCCCGCCGCGGUGGAGUCAAGCGUAUCAGUCUCAUCUACGAGGAGACUCGCGGCGUGUUGAAGGUUUUCCUGGAGAACGUGAUCCGUGACGCUGUCACUUACACGGAACACGCCAAGAGGAAAACUGUGACCGCCAUGGACGUGGUCUACGCCUUGAAGAGACAGGGAUGCUCCCACAACGGCUUUGGAAGUUAAAUAGGACUCAAGAACAACCACUAAAGGCUCUUUUAAGAGCCACACACUCUGCUAUGAGCUACUUCCUGUUUUCAAUUACAAUAUGAAAACUAUUAAAACCUAAAUCUACGACACUUGUGAUUAACCUGGACAUGUAACUGUCUGGACCUCACAUAUGGUCAUGAGCUUUGGGUCAUGACCAAAAGAGCAAGAUCAUGGACACAAGCGGCUGAAAUGAGCUUCCUCUGUAGGGUGGCUGGGCACUCUCUUAGAGAUAAGGUGAGGAGCUUUUGUCACCCAGGAGGAGCUCAGAGUAGAGUUCCUCCUCCUCCACAUCGAGAGGAGCCAGUGGGGGUGGCUUGGGUAUCUGGUUUGGAUGCAUUCUGGACACCUCCCUGGGGAGGUAUCUGGGCGUGUCCCACCAGUAGGAGGCCCCGGGGAAGACAGGACAUGCUGGGUCUUCCUCGUGUCUCUUGAUUGGCCUGGGAACGCCUUCGGGUCCCACCGGAAGAGCAGGGGAGAGGGAAUUCUGGAGCUCUGCUUAGACUGCUGCCCCUGCGCCCUGGAUAAGCGGUUGAAAAUGGAUGGAUGGUGAUUUAACAGGAGGACACACAUGUGACUAUAACCUGGACACAUAAUUGUCUGCAAUGAUUUUACACCUUUUAAACAAAUUCAGGUUCAGAACAGAGCUUCUGAGUCCUAUACGUCAGAUCUACAGACAUGUUCUGUCUUGUCUACAGACGUCAGUUUUGAGAGACCAUUCGUCAUGUGGCCCCGUCAGGGCUUCCACCGUUGCUCCCUGUUCCUGCUUAUAAAACUCUCAGCGACUCCCUCAAGUCAGUUUAAUCGAGGACACAAUGGACGUAUCACAGAUGAUCAUUGCAUUUCUGGUGCUGAAGAUGAACCUUCAACCUAUCAGCAUGAAAGUUCUGCCAAACCCCAAUGGAUGUCCAUCAUGUCCUGAAGGUUACUUCCUGAAGGAAAACUGCACCAUAACCCCUGACAUGAAGGUGGGAAUCCGCUGUGCUAUGUGCACAAACUGCUCAGCACUGGAUCAGGAAACUCUGACAGCGUGUUCUAAGACUGUAGACUCUGUGUGUGGACCCAAGACAAAAAGCCUCCCACCAAACAUGACCCUGACCGGAGCAGAAAAUAACGCAACAGACUUUGCUCCUGACCAGUGGAUUGUCCCUUGUAUAAUAGUUGCUUCUCUGGUCUUAAUCAUCCUGCUCAGUUUGUUUCUCAUCCUGUUGCCUUGCUGGGUUCCACAUCAGAACAAAUCAGAAGGUAAUAAGGUUGCAUUAUAGAUCUCAACAAUUUUAUGUUGGUAGCCUCACUGUUCACCUUGUUGUUUCCUUCACGCUACAUAGGUCUGGAUUUAGCCUGACUGAAGUAAAUUUGCUGUUGAACAACAUCUUUUAGUGUUGAUGGCAUUGGGACGAACUGCUGGGCCAGUUUUAGUCCAUGGAGGUAGACAUGGUUUAGUCCAGAGUCAGUCUAGGAAGGAAGAGAAUAGUCAUAGUCUAGGAUGGGUUCAGUGUCAGUCCUGGUUUAGCUCAGGUAGGGACAGUAUGUGUCAGGCUCAGUCUAGAUGUAACUCAGGUGUACUACAGGUCAAGGUCCAGUUUAAGCGCAGUUAGAGUUAAGCAUGAGCUAGAGUUGUCCUGUGAGAUAAGAGUGCAACUCUCCAUCUACAGUACAAUCAGAACAAUGUGCUAGAACAUUAAUGUACUGUAUGCUCUGAUGUUUUGGUGGUUUUAGUUUAGUUUCAGAUUACAAUGUUUUGUUCAUGUAAAUAUGAUGAUUUUACUGUGAAUCUUUGUUCAAACAUGUGUGAUUUCUUUGACGUAGAUUGAUGAACUAUGAUCUGCUAAUAAAUGAAACUAUAACUAUG